rnacentral:rRNA from 1 species
GACAGAGGUGCCGAGCGUUAGGCGGAAUCACUGGGCUUAAAGCGUGUGUAGGCGGGCCGGUAAGGGACCCGUGAAAUCCCCCGGCUCAACCGGGGAACGGCGGGGCAUACUGGCGGCCUUGAGACACCUAGGGGCGAGCGGAACAGGCGGUGGAGCGGUGAAAUGCGUAGAUAUCGCCUGGAACGCCGACGGUGAAAACAGCUCGCUGGGGGUGUUCUGACGCUGAGACACGAAAGCCAGGGGAGCGAACGGG